AAACCCAUCUUUAUAUAUAUAUAUUUUUAGAAAAAAAACAAAAAAGUUUUGAAACCUCUCAUCUCUUCCGACGAAGGCGCUUUCUCUGCCCACUGUGCCACCAUGGCGUCGGCGGCCGACGGUGUAUAGACAAGGGCCUUUCAGCCCCGUUUCGAAACCUCCUUUCCCUUUUUUUUUAAAGAACUUUAAAUCAGUUUUUAUUUUUUUUAAAAUGGAGAAAAUGAUUAACAAACGAACAUACAACCACUCUGUCACCGACUACGUCCAUCGACGAAGAGGGAGACCGAUUCAGGCCUAGACGGAAGCGAUGGUGCAAAAGCUUGCCAUGUUGGUACAAGCGGUGUUAGGGGAGCCGACUUUCGGGCGUUGGACUUGCCGACGAAGCACGUGGGAGAGGGCAAUGGCUAGGGCAGCUCCUAGGGUUUGAUUGAAAAUGUUUUAGGAUAGUGGGCUGAUGUGUAUUGGGUAAUUGGGUUUAGGGCUUAAGUUAGGUAUUGGGUUUUGAUAUGGGUUGUAGUUUGGGUUUUAAUUUUUGUAAUUUGGAUUUUAAAAUUUGGACAUUAUUGGUUUAUUUAUUAUAAGCCCAGGUCAAAAUUGACCUAUUACACGAUGCUUGUACAAUAAAUCAAAGAUCGAGAAUAAAAAUUAUAAUUCAUUCUGA